UACGUAGGGCGCAAGCGUUGUCCGGAAUUAUUGGGCGUAAAGAGCUCGUAGGCGGUCCGUCACGUCUGCCGUGAAAACCCGAGGCUUAACCUCGGGCCUGCGGUGGAUACGGGCGAACUAGAGGUAGGUAGGGGAGAACGGAAUUCCCGGUGUAGCGGUGAAAUGCGCAGAUAUCGGGAGGAACACCGGUGGCGAAGGCGGUUCUCUGGGCCUUACCUGACGCUGAGGAGCGAAACGUGGGGAGCGAACAGG
rnacentral:rRNA from 1 species